CGGUUAGGCCGGGAACUCAAAGGAGACUGCCAGUGAUAAACUGGAGGAAGGUGGGGAUGACGUCAAGUCAUCAUGGCCCUUACGAGUAGGGCUACACACGUGCUACAAUGGCAUAUACAAAGAGAAGCGACCUCGCGAGAGCAAGCGGACCUCAUAAAGUAUGUCGUAGUCCGGAUUGGAGUCUGCAACUCGACUCCAUGAAGUCGGAAUCGCUAGUAAUCGUGGAUCAGAAUGCCACGGUGAAUACGUUCCCGGGCCUUGUACACACCGCCCGUCACACCAUGGGAGUGGGUUGCAAAAGAAGUAGGUAGCUUAACCUUCGGGAGGGCGCUUACCACUUUGUGAUUCAUGACUGGGGUGAAGUCGUAACAAGGUAACCGUAGGGGAACCUGCGGUUGGA
rnacentral:rRNA from 1 species